CAUAUUUUUGUGGUUUUGUGCGAUAAAUAUCUCAUCUGAUAUAUAUGAUAAAACAAUAUGACAGAGAUGACAGCUAAAUUCUUUAUCUUUCCUCAUUAAAGUAGUAGUUCUGCUUUCAGAAUUAACAGUUUUAUUACAUAAUGCUAUCUUAUGGGAAUUGCCCACACUGCUGUUCUCUGAAACACAACACUCAUUUGAAUGAAGUUGUUAUGGUGCCAGGAGGUCUCUGGUGACGG